AGUGCUCUCAUAUUUUGAUCAUGAAGCCUGCCACAGACCUCUGUCACACCUGCCAGUCCUUUUCGUCAACUCUUUCAUGCAGCGGCAAUUUGAACGAAGAGGAAAAAGAGGAUAUUCUAUCAAAAUAUCAAGAGCAUGUUGGACAUGUCAAAGAACAGAUCGAGGGACCAUUACAGGGAUCAGUGUGCUGCGGCCAAAUCAACAUUUGUCCAACUCACCCCAGAGCAAAAAAUAAGAGGCCAGCCACCCUGCACAUUGCAGUCUGA
rnacentral:sRNA from 1 species